UUUACCCUGAUUUGUCCCUCUACCAAGACAAAAAGGGAAAGAAGGAGUGCAAGUUCCUGUUUCCUAGAUCACAGAAGAAAGGAACAGAGGCCCAACUACAAACCUUGGUGAAGCAUUGUGACAUCAGAAACAUCUCUCUGCCUUUAUUUUCCUGAUGACCUGUGGGUGACAGUGAGACGAACCAACAGCUAUUAAUUAUUAAGCAGAUGAUCAGGUGAUCCAUAACUUAAUUUUGAGAGAGGAAGAAGAGAGAGCUAAAGUACAUGUAGCCCAAAAAAAUCAUGUCUUGAUAAAUGGACUAUGUAUGUGACAUAGGCAAAGUUUCCAGAUACCAGGGACGAAGGUCAGAUGCUGAAAUGUAAAUAUGCCUCUAAAGGAAACAGUUUGGUGGAGAGCUUAAAGUGAAGGUCACCUGGCCGAAGCUGGUACGAUGAUGGAUUUGCAGCUGCUGUUAGAGAUGCCACUCAAGGCAGAGGAUUGGAGAAGGAAGAAUGGUCCCCUUCCCUACGUCUACAACUAUCAACACUUCAAAAUAUGGUUAAAAAAGACUCUAAUUACUUAAAAAUAGAAUAAUGUAUCUUUCCAUGGAUGGGUGUCCAUGUUUGUAUUACCUUGAGAUCAAAGUCUGACAGAGUAUAUGGGAACAUUUCUCUUUUGCCUUAUUCCAACCCCACAUUUAUUAGUCCAAAAUUAAAAUGUGUAUUAUCUUUUGACUGAUCAAUGAAAUGGGUACAAGUCAAAGACUACAAAACAUUUCAAGAAAGACUUCAGAAUAUCUUAGUACUGUACAAGCAAACAAGAUUUUGAUUUAGAUUAUUUCUUAAUACUUCCUAAAGUUAAGCAAUUUUCUGUAGAACAACUGAAUGAUUUCCUGAAGUAAAAUAUAUAUUUCUGCUGUUGUAUAAAAGCAAGACAAUUAAUUUUCUCCUUAUAUCUUCUUAUUCUUCUUAUGCUUGCAUCUAUUUAGUAUACAAAUCAAAGGGAUUAAAAAAUUGAUGUACAGACAGUCCCCAGUUUACAAUGGUUUGACUUGACUUUUUGACUUUAUGAUGGUGCAAAAACCAUACACAUUCAAUAGAAAGUGGUAAGACACUCUCCUGUGAUGCUGCAGCUCCCAGUCAGCCAUGCCGUCACGAGGGUAAUCAGCUGGUAUUCUAUAGUGUCCUGUGUUGCCAGAUGGUUUUGCCCAACUGUAGCCUAAUGUAAGGUGUCUGAGCACGUUUAAGGUAGUCUAGGCUAAGCUACAACGUUAAGUAGUUUAGGUGUAUUAAAUACGCUUUAAAGUUAUGAUAUUUUCAACUUACAGUGUUUAUGGAGAUGAAACCUUAUGUUAAGUCAAAGAGCAUCUGUAUAAGCAGGAUCAUUAUCCUUAUGUAAAUGAGAUCAAAAAAGAGAAGCAUUCACUAAGACUAUUCCUUUUAGUACUAUUUUCUUGAUAAGGAAAAAAGACAAAAAAAAAGUUGACCAAAUUUUUAAAAAUUUACAUUUUAUAUUUUUAAAGCAUAUCAAUUCUAUACAGGCCACCUAAAUAUUAGACUUUCAGAUACGUGACUUCUAACAUAUUCUGAAGGCAUUUUUAUAUGUAUGUAAAUGUGUAUAUAUAGACAUUUACAUACAUAUAUAGACAUUUCCAUACAUAUAUAUCUUUACAUCUCUGAAAAUUAAUAUUGAAAUAUGUGAGAAACAGGAUUUGUUGUGUGUGCUCGUUUUAAAAACACUGUAUAACAGUAAAAUAUUUUUCAUUGUGGAAAAUGAUUAAAUGGUAUUAUGUAGAAUUAUUUUACAGCUGAUGACAUAAGGGAUGAUUUUUUUCAAAAAAUUCUUUUACUAUUUUGAAGUGUCCUUUUAAAAGAAUGAUACUUUUUACAACAAUGAUAAAAUAAUUAUUGUAAUACAAAAUUUAAUGUCCAAAGACAUUAUCAGGAACACACGGAUUAUUGAAAAAGUAGUUUGUAAAACCUGAUGUCUAAUAUAUUAACUAAAAUAAAAUUUAUUUUUGUUAAUCUAGGUCAUAACUGCUUUUGGAAUAUCAUGAAACAUAUGAAUGACUUUAUUCCAAGUGAAAAAUCAUUCAGUAGAGUCAAACUACAGUGUUUUCCAAAGGAAUUUCCUUUUAAUGACUUGCAGAUGUUGUUAUGUUUAAUGUCAAUAAAAAAUUGAAUUCAGUUUUUAGACAUAAAAAUUUACAUGAAAUACAUCCCCCGAGUACAUUAAGUGUUUUCACAUUCAUGAAAAAGACCAUUUGGAAAAGAGUAAAAACAGAUAUUUUAAAAAGUUAUUACUAAAAAUGUUUGUUAAAUAUUGUAAUGACUUUCCUAGAGCAACCCUUAAAUUGAAAACCUAAGAAAAUACUCAAUUUUAUUUUAGAGAGAGAAAGUGUUUUUAGGAUUGAGAAAGAAAUUACUUCUUAAUAUUUUGAAAUCCUGUACAGGUUAAGCAUUCCUAAUCCAAAAAUUUGAAAUCUGAAAUGCUUCAGAAUCCAAAACUUUUGAGUGCCAAUUUGAUUCCACAAGUGGAAAAUAAUACAGUUGACCUCACAUGACGGGUUGCAAUCAAAACACAGGCACACAACAGACUGGUGAUCAUGAUAACAGUGAUGAUGAAGAUGACUGACAUUGUUAACGCUGCAGAAAAAGUACCUAUAGACGGCGUGGUGAAAAGGUGUGAUGGGCUUAUUGAAGGACUAGGGCAGCAUGCAUUCAUCACAGAACAAGAAAUCACAUAAGUUAUAAAAUCAAAGAAAGAAUUCUAAGACAAAGAAUGAAAAAUUUUAAAAAAAGUUAUUAAUGAAGCAGAGGACAUUCUGGAAGAAACAUUUUAAAAAGUCAUCCAAUAGGAUGCUUCUUCAUCUUUAGAGGAACCACUUUCUGGUGUUCCUCUAAAGGAACCAGAAGUAUAGUAAUCUUCUAAUCUAAACAGAAGAUUGCAGGUAGAGACUGAAAGUCUGACAUUGCUUGUGGAUGUUGUUGUUAGUUGAUACUGUCAUUCUGGUGAUGACACAGUGCUGUUUGGUUACCUCCAACACAUUAUUUUUUCACUGUAUCAGUGGUGUGUCCUCUUUUUUACAGUUAAAUACUUUUGUGUGAAUAAGUGUGAGAAAAUGAUUGCUUAUUAAUAGCAUAUAAAUUCAGAGUCAGGAGUGAUGGUAAUGCCAGAAGAAAACCCUCAGAUUAUCCACGAGAGGCUGAGAUAGUGACACUUUUGCUUCCUGAAGAUGCAAUUCUUGACUUGUGAUGAAAUCAGUUCCCCAAUUUAUACUGCAUUCGUGGAAACUGGGUCUCGGGCAGCAUCUCAGCAAUUCCUUCCAACCUAAAGUUCUCUCAUCUGCUGGUAACCAGUCCAUUCCUAUUGGUGUUCAAGCAAUCACAAACACAUCCUACUUUUGAGAAAUGUUCCAGAGGAGGAGUCAAAGUGGCUGUAAUCUUGAUCCAGUUUUAUGGGCAAUAGAAUUAUUUUACUGAUUCCUGGAAUCAUGGCUCCUAUGCAUCUGCUCUCUAUGAGCACUUUGGAAAUUAAAGGAUUGCCAGCUUUUCCACUUUGGGACAAAAAACAUUUGUGCUAAACAGCCGACUUUGAACUAACCUUAUUCUCCAACGUCAGUCAAAAUAAUUUUCUCAAUUAAGGUCUGUCAACUAAACACGCAAAAAAUGACCUUCAUGGGAUAGUCCUCAGGAAAAGCUAAUAAAUGAUUGCAAAAUGAGGCAAGGAAAAGCACUUGAGAUGGGGUCCUCACUCUGUCACACAGCCUAUAGUGUAGUGGAAUGAUCAAGGUCACUGCAGCCUCAAAUUCCUGGGCUAAGUGAUCCUCAUGCCUCAGCCUCUCAAGUAGCUAGGACUACAGG